CUUAGAAGCAGCCAUCCUUGAAAGAGUGCGUAAUAGCUCACUGGUCAAGUGGUUCUGCGCCGACAAUGUAGCGGGGCUCAAGCGUACCGCCGAAGCUGUGGCAACAACGCGUGUGGCUGGCACCAGGAACUGGAUGUCGGUGUGUUGUUGGGUAGGGGAGCGUCCUGCACGAGGUGAAGCCUGGAGGGAACUUCUGGUGGAUUGUGUGGGAGUGAGAAUGCAGGCAUGAGUAACGAAUCUGCGGUGAGAAUCCGCAGCGCCGAUUGACUAAGGGUUCCAGGGCUAGGUUUAUCCGCCCUGGGUUAGUCGGGUCCUAAGGCGAGGCCGACAGGCGUAGUCGAUGGACAACCAGUUGAUAUUCUGGUACCGCGUUAUGACCGCCCAUGCUGAAGUCAUUGUGCUAACCAAUUUGCUCACGCCGCCUCUAAGCCUUCGGGUUUGUUGGUGUGUGUGGGUCUUGGGGCCCCGGUGAUUGUAGGCAAGCGUGUUAACAGGGGUGACGCAGACAGGUAGCUGCAGUGCGCCGAUGGUUGUGCGUAUUUAAGGUUGUGGCCCGCCUCCCAGGCAAAUCCGGGGGGCACGAGGGUGAGAACUGAUGAGGGACACACGCGUGUGUGGACUUGUGGUGAUCCUAAGCUGCCGAGAAAAGCCUCGACGUGAGGGCAUGACGCGCCCGUACCCUAAACCGACUCAGGUGGUCAGGUAGAGUAUACCGAGGCGUUCGAGUGAAUCGUGGUUAAGGAACUCGGCAAAAUUCCUCCGUAACUUCGGGAUAAGGAGGACCCCGUGACUUCCUCUCAUCAUGCGUGGGUGUGGGGUUGUGGGGUCGCAGAGAAUAGGGAGAAGCGACUGUUUAUCAAAAACACAGGUGCGUGCGAAGCCGUAAGGCGAUGUAUACGCACUGACGCCUGCCCGGUGCUGGAAGGUUAAGAGGAACUGUCAACACCUCUUUGUGGGUGUGAAGCGGUGAAUUUAAGCCCCAGUAAACGGCGGUGGUAACUAUAACCAUCCUAAGGUAGCGAAAUUCCUUGUCGGGUAAGUUCCGACCUGCACGAAUGGCGUAACGACUUCUCCGCUGUCUCAACCGCGAACUCGGUGAAAUUGCAGUACGAGUAAAGAUGCUCGUUUCGCGCAGAAGGACGGAAAGACCCCGGGACCUUUACUAUAGCUUGGUAUUGGUGUUCGCUUGGACUUGUGUAGGAUAGGUGGGAGACUGUGAAGCUGCCGCGCCAGCGGUGGUGGAGUCGUCGUUGAAAUACCAUUCUGGUUCAAGCGGUCACCUCAACCUUGGCCCGUGAUCCGGGUUGGGGACAGUGCCUGGUGGGUAGUUUAACUGGGGCGGUUGCCUCCUAAAAUGUAACGGAGGCGCUCAAAGGUUCCCUCAGCCUGGUUGGUAAUCAGGUGGCGAGUGCAAGUGUACAAGGGAGCUUGACUGUGAGACCGACGGGUCGAGCAGGUGCGAAAGCAGGAACUAGUGAUCCGGCCAUGGCACGUGGGUGCGUGGUCGCUCAACGGAUAAAAGGUACCCCGGGGAUAACAGGCUGAUCUUGCCCAAGAGUCCAUAUCGACGGCAUGGUUUGGCACCUCGAUGUCGGCUCGUCGCAUCCUGGGGCUGGAGUUGGUCCCAAGGGUUGGGCUGUUCGCCCAUUAAAGCGGUACGCGAGCUGGGUUCAGAACGUCGUGAGACAGUUCGGUCCCUAUCCUCUGUGCGCGCAGGAAAUUUGAGAAGGGCCGUCCCUAGUACGAGAGGACCGGGAUGGACGAACCUCUGGUGUGCCAGUUGUACCGCCAGGUGCAUGGCUGGUUGGCUACGUUCGGAAGGGAUAACCGCUGAAAGCAUCUAAGCGGGAAGCCUGCUUCAAGAUGAGAUUUCCACGCCCCCCCGUGGGGUGAGAGGCCCCCGCCAGACUAGCGGGUCGAUAGGCCAGAGGUGGAAGCACAGCAAUGUGCUCGCGAGCCGACUGGUACUAAUGGGCCAACACUAAACAAC
rnacentral:rRNA from 1 species